CCCCAACUCCCGCUGUGUCCGAGCCCUGGCUAAGAGAGAGGACCUGACAGGGUGGCAGAUAGAAGAUCUGGAUCCCCAUUUCCUCAACUCCAUGUUUCAAGGAAGGAGCAGAAACUCCCCCAGUGAGCUCUGCUGACCUGUGUUAGCACCCAGAAGGGACAGCAGAGGUGCGCGUGGCAGGGCAUGGAGUGUCUUGGAGUCUUACUCAGCACUUCUUUCUCCUCGCAGGCCCACUGCUGACACCACAGACACUGCUGGCACGCCUGUUGGUGGUGGCAGGGAGCCCUGUUGCAGACCGCAAACUCCAAGCCACUGCCUUACUGCUCAUGCAAAACCUCCACAGCAGGAUCCACAGAGCUGUGGGGGCCAUGUGGGCUGCUGAGAUCCCCCUGCUGCUACAGUGUCUCCAAGAUGGAGCUGGACAGUGUGAGAGCUCAGGCCACACGCAGCGCUCUCAUCCUCGCCCAUGGCAGCUCAGCACUGCGUGCCUCCAAGGAACAGCUGCUCGCCCACCUGGAGGGAGACAUCAUGGGCAGCAUCCUGAUGCUCUACAGCUGCAGCUGCUGGAACUUGCUGAAGAAGUAUUUCUUGGGCAACCCCGUCUCCCCAGUGCCCCUCAAGGUGGUUCUGGCCCUGGAGCAGUUGAGGUAAGGGCCAGAAUCACAAAAUCACAGAAUGUCAGGAACUGGAAGGAACCUCAGAAGAUCUUCUAGUCCAAUCCCCCCGCUUUAGCAGGAACACCUAGAUUAGGUCACACAGGAAUGUGUCCAGGCAGUAGUAUGCAUCAUAAGUAAUGAAUGUGAAAAGGCAUUAAAUAUAUUACUAGAAUGAACUUUUAUGUGACUAUUAUAAUUUUCAAGUACUAUUGAAUAACAACAAUGGAAAAGUGUUUGUAUGAAUGUACUUGGGUAAUUAAUGGCAAAGAUUGAAGACAUCAUGUAGUGCCAAAUCAAAGACUGUAAAUACAUUCUUUUAAAGAGACUAAUGUACCCAUUGCUAGUUAAUAAUUAAAUAUAUUGCUAAUUAGUAACACAGUGAAACUUCAGAGCUUUAAUGUUAUGGCAUAAUUCAUUUUGACUUCAGUACUGUUAAGAUUAAUGCAUACCUCUUCAUGUAAGUAGCAAUGAAAUAAAUACAUAAAUAAAUUCUCCAUUACGUUGCCAAAUCUUUGCUAAAAUUCAGCUGCAUUAUACAGUAACUUAUUAUCUACUACUCUACAUAGGAGGAGAUUACAGUAUUAGAAAUGGGGCCAAUUAUUGAAAUCAGUGACAGUAACCACUCUUGUGUCUCUUCAUUUUUCUUCUUCAACUCAUGUGGAAACUUAUUUCACUUCUCAGUGGUCUGGAAUUCAAACAAAAGUUUAAGCUGUUACCUUUUUACAGUCCUUUAAAUGCAUUGCUUUUGCCAGAUGGAAGGUUCUACUAUAUGCUUCAUUCACAUAAAAAAAAAAAAAAAAGAAAAAAAGAAAAAAGGAAAAAAAACACAACCCGCAUUCUUUCCCAGCUUCAUUUUUUUCUGCUAACACACGCGUACUUGCAUGUUUUGAUCAGUGUAUUUUUUAAUUGUGUAAUUUACAUUCAUACAGGUUUAACAGCCAAGAGGUACUGGUUCAUAAGUAAACCCUGUCUCAUUUAUACAUAAAUGUAUUAAUCUGAGAGGUCACCCAGCACAUAAAUUUAAAAGUGCUACAGUAUUAAUUUGUUUAAAAUGAAUGGAAACUACCUCUUCAUGCUUAAGUAGCCAUCUGAGUCCAAACAGGAAUGGUCAUGCCAUUGUUAAUUUUCCUAUUAUUACAGGAUUGCAGAGGCCUUCUUUUGCUAGAUCAUGGCUGAUGGGAUUGUCACACUGUAGUGGAUUAAACAGAUGACAUGGAGCUGGGAGCCUGCAGUGGCUGUUUCAAUAGACUGAGACUCUCAGAUUCUCACUCAUGCCAUAGGCAGCACUGACAAAAUGCAGUGCAAAAAUUUAGAUGUUCUUUCAGGAUGUGAACUAAUUACCAGGCUAAAGAGAGAAAUGCAGUAAGAAUAUAAUACUUCCUAGAACAGCACCAAGUCAGGCAGCAUGGUCUUGACUGCUAUGGUGAAAUAAUAACCCCAAUGAGUGCAGGAGUAAUGUCUUCAAAAAUAAACUCAAAUUCUAGUCUCAGUAGAGACACUGGCACCGAUUUUCUCAUCUCCAGAGAUCUUUACCUCUUGCUUGUAAUUGCAUGUGUUCUGCACGGUCACUUUGCAGCUCUUUCCCUCCUUCUGCUACUGAUCUCUGGUACUAGGAAAGGAGAAAGACAAAUAUUGAUUUCCAAGUGUGGUUGGUCUCUUUCAUACAACCCAUCACUGUCCUUUCCAGUAUCUUUCAUCGCAGGACUUGACAUUUACCUGGAAAUAGACCUAUCUGCUCCUGUAUAUCACACUGUGCAUGCACAGAGAUUUAAGAGAAGAAGAAAAAAAAUAUUGAGGAAAGGGAAUGAUGAAUACUACCAUUUAGCAGAAUCCAUUCAGCCAGCCCAUUAAUUUCUUGUCAAAUCUCAUCAGGGAAGAGGAGCUUAAACUCUUCAAAUAUCACAGCUGAAGAGUCUAAGUUACUGUCAUGCUAAAUUACUAAUGAUGUUAGUCUAAAUUACUGUUGAUGCUAGUCUUUGUAUGUGAGAGAGGACUGUACAUAUUGCCCUCCCAGAUCCAUUUAGUCCAGUAUUAUCUCUCUCAUAGUUCCCAGGUAGUCAAAAGCAAAAGUCAUAUACUGUUGGUAAUUUUUGCAUACUAGGUCUAUAAGAUCUUUAGUACCUUGAAAACUUAUUUAAUUCCAGGAACUGAAACUUGCAAAGGAGGUGCCAUGGAAUCCAGAGUACCACUGUUCUUUUCAGUAAGUCUGCACAAGCCUAGCAAAGGAAUAACAAAGUAGAAGAAGACAGUAAUGUCAAUCCAUGACAAGAGAAGAUUUGGACUUUUAAAAUUUUAUUCUUCAACAAUUUAGAGGAAGCCAACUAUAUACUUUCUUAUGCCUUGAUUCCAGUUAGCCUGGAAUUUCAGAAUUAUUGUACCUGGACUUUCUGAACACUACAAAUCAUCCAGUUUCAUCUAGAAAACUUGCAUUAUAUACAAACAAGUU
ensembl:lncRNA